rfam:Actinobacteria bacterium CG2_30_50_142 cg2_3.0_scaffold_2040_c, whole genome shotgun sequence.
UCCAUCGCGAGGUGGAAUCUGAAGGAAGCCUAAGGCAAACUCCCGGCCCGAGGAACACGAACCGCAUAGAAGGCUGUCUUGAGGCGGACGAGUUUGCUAGACAAAACAAAGUCCUUUCACUGCCCGAACCUCAAGUAGUAAAUGCGGCGGGUAGAUGGGAGGAAAGCUACCGCU